rnacentral:rRNA from 1 species
UGUGACAUACCUUAAUGUUGCCUCGGCGGAUCAGCCCGCGCCCCGUAAAACGGGACGGCCCGCCAGAGGACCCAAACUCUAAUGUUUCUUAUUGUAACUUCUGAGUAAAACAAACAAAUAAAUCAAAACUUUCAACAACGGAUCUCUUGGUUCUGGCAUCGAUGAAGAACGCAGCAAAAUGCGAUAAGUAAUGUGAAUUGCAGAAUUCAGUGAAUCAUCGAAUCUUUGAACGCACAUUGCGCCCGCUGGUAUUCCGGCGGGCAUGCCUGUUCGAGCGUCAUUUCAACCCUCAAGCCCCCGGGUUUGGUGUUGGGGAUCGGCUCUGCCCUUCUGGGCGGUGCCGCCCCCGAAAUACAUUGGCGGUCUCGCUGCAGCCUCCAUUGCGUAGUAGCUAACACCUCGCAACUGGAACGCGGCGCGGCCAUGCCGUAAAACCCCAACUUCUGAAUGUUGACCUCGGAUCAGGUAGGAAUACCCGCUGAACUUAAGCAUAUCAAUAAG